UACAGAGGGGGCAAGCGUUAUUCGGAAUUAUUGGGCGUAAAGGGCGCGUAGGCGGCCUGGCAAGUGGAAGGUGAAAUCCCUCGGCUUAACCGAGGAACUGCCCUCCAAACUGCUUGGCUUGAGUCCGGGAGAGGUGAGUGGAAUUCCCAGUGUAGCGGUGAAAUGCGUAGAUAUUGGGAGGAACACCAGUGGCGAAGGCGGCUCACUGGACCGGAACUGACGCUGAUGCGCGAAAGCGUGGGGAGCAAACGGG
rnacentral:rRNA from 1 species